ACUUUCAAAGGAUAAUAGACUUCCCCUAAUUUUAGGCAUUAGUAACUCUUGGUGCAACUCCAAGUGAAAGUU
rnacentral:tRNA from 1 species